ACAGCAGCAGCCACGGUAAUACAGAGGGUGCGAGCGUUAAUCGGAUUUACUGGGCGUAAAGCGUGCGUAGGCGGCUUCUUAAGUCGGAUGUGAAAUCCCUGAGCUUAACUUAGGAAUUGCAUUCGAUACUGGGAAGCUAGAGUAUGGGAGAGGAUGGUAGAAUUCCAGGUGUAGCGGUGAAAUGCGUAGAGAUCUGGAGGAAUACCGAUGGCGAAGGCAGCCAUCUGGCCUAAUACUGACGCUGAGGUACGAAAGCAUGGGGAGCAAACAGGAUUAGAUACCCCUGUAGUCCCUGUCUUUUAUAC
rnacentral:rRNA from 1 species